rnacentral:snoRNA from 1 species
GUGGAAGUGGUUAUUAUUUCCCUAGAUGAUUGAUGCUGAACAAACUAAGCGUUUUUAUUUCUUUAUUAAAAGAGAAUUCAAGCUAGGAAAUUGAUCCAU